GAGACCACUGAGAGCAGAAGAGGAGACUAAUGCUGGAAGAUCAUCGACUGGAUCACAGAAAACCAACACAAAGCUACCACGAGUUAGCAGCUAGCUUCAAAUGGCGGGCCCUUCCUACAGUCAUCACGACGCAGUGACUAUCAAAAGACUUUAAGCAAUCAUGCUGGCUGCCUUAAGAGUUGUUAAAUCACUGAAUCCUCCAUCUGACCAGUCGGUUGAGCGCGUGCCUGCAGUUGAUUCACAUCAGCCUGAUCCUUAUCCAGAGGAGAAGCAGAAUGACAUCAUUCACAGUAUUAAACAGCUGAAUGACAAAGUUGAUGCACUGCAUCCUUUGACCGUCCCUGAAAGUGUCGGUUCCCAGACAUACCAGGAGAGAGAACAAUGUGGACCCUGCUGAGACGAUUAUCCGAAGAAUGGCCAGCUAAACCAGAAGUAUGGGCUUGAACCAAUUACAAGCAGUGCCUGGAAGUAAUGGGCCUACCAG